CGGACGGGUGAGUAACGCGUGGGUAACCUGCCCUAUACAGGGGGAUAACAGUUAGAAAUGACUGCUAAUACCGCAUAAGCGCACUAGAACCGCAUGGUUCGGUGUGAAAAACUGAGGUGGUAUAGGAUGGACCCGCGUCUGAUUAGCUUGUUGGUGGGGUAACGGCUCACCAAGGCGACGAUCAGUAGCCGGCCUGAGAGGGUGACCGGCCACAUUGGGACUGAGACACGGCCCAGACUCCUACGGGAGGCAGCAG
rnacentral:rRNA from 1 species